rnacentral:rRNA from 1 species
AGUUUGAUCCUGGCUCAGGAUGAACGCUGGCGGCGUGCCUAAUACAUGCAAGUCGAACGAAUCUCUUCGGAGAUGAGUGGCGAACGGGUGAGUAAUACAUAGGUAACCUGCCCCUGUGCGGGGGAUAACAGGAGGAAACUCCUGCUAAUACCGCAUAGCCAUGAGCACCGCAUGGAGCUCAUGCCAAAUAUCCUUUCGGGGAUAGCGCAGGGAUGGACCUAUGGCGCAUUAGCUUGUUGGCGGGGCAACGGCCCACCAAGGCAACGAUGCGUAGCCGGCCUGAGAGGGCGGACGGCCACAUUGGGACUGAGACACGGCCCAGACUCCUACGGGAGGCAGCAGUAGGGAAUUUUCGGCAAUGGGGGAAACCCUGACCGAGCAACGCCGCGUGAGCGAAGAAGGCCUUCGGGUCGUAAAGCUCUGUUGUAAAGGAAGAACGGCGCAUACAGGAAAUGGUAUGCGAGUGACGGUACUUUACCAGAAAGCCACGGCUAACUACGUGCCAGCAGCCGCGGUAAUACGUAGGUGGCGAGCGUUAUCCGGAAUCAUUGGGCGUAAAGAGGGAGCAGGCGGCCGCAAGGGUCUGUGGUGAAAGACCGAAGCUAAACUUCGGUAAGCCAUGGAAACCGGGCGGCUAGAGUGCGGAAGAGGAUCGUGGAAUUCCAUGUGUAGCGGUGAAAUGCGUAGAUAUAUGGAGGAACACCAGUGGCGAAGGCGACGGUCUGGGCCGCAACUGACGCUCAUUCCCGAAAGCGUGGGGAGCAAAUAGGAUUAGAUACCCUAGUAGUCCACGCCGUAAACGAUGGUCACUAAGUGUCGGGGGUCAAACCCCGGUGCUGCAGUCAACGCAAUAAGUGACCCGCCUGAGUAGUACGUUCGCAAGAAUGAAACUCAAAGGAAUUGACGGAA